rnacentral:rRNA from 1 species
GACGAACGCUGGCGGCGUGCUUAACACAUGCAAGUCGAGCGGUAAGGCCCUUCGGGUACACGAGCGGCGAACGGGUGAGUAACACGUGGGUGACCUGCCUCUAGCUCUGGGAUAAGCCUGGGAAACUGGGUCUAAUACCGGAUAUGACUCCACGGCGCAUGUUGUGGGGUGGAAAGCCUUGUGUGGCUAGAGAUGGGCCCGCGGCCUAUCAGCUUGUUGGUGGGGUGAUGGCCACCAAGGCGACGACGGGUAGCCGGCCUGAGAGGGCGACCGGCCACACUGGGACUGAGACACGGCCCAGACUCCUACGGGAGGCAGCAGUGGGGAAUCUUGCGCAAUGGGCGAAAGCCUGACGCAGCGACGCCGCGUGAGGGAUGACGGCCUCGG